UACAGAGGUCCCGAGCGUUGUUCGGAUUCAUUGGGCGUAAAGGGUGCGUAGGCGGUCUGCUAAGUUUGAUGUGAAAUCCCGGGGCUCAACCCUGGAAUGGCAUUGAAUACUGGUGGACUAGAGUACUGGAGAGGAACUGGAAUUUACGGUGUAGCAGUGAAAUGCGUAGAGAUCGUAAGGAAGACCAGUGGCGAAGGCGGCUACCUGGACCGGUUCUGACGCUGAUGCGCGAAAGCGUGGGUAGCAAACAGG
rnacentral:rRNA from 1 species